CGGGUGAGUAACACGUAUCCAACCUGCCGUCUACUCUUGGACAGCCUUCUGAAAGGAAGAUUAAUACAAGAUGGCAUCAUGAGUCCGCAUGUUCACAUGAUUAAAGGUAUUCCGGUAGACGAUGGGGAUGCGUUCCAUUAGAUAGUAGGCGGGGUAACGGCCCACCUAGUCUUCGAUGGAUAGGGGCUCUGAGAGGAAGGUCCCCCACAUUGGAACUGAGACGCGGUCCAA
rnacentral:rRNA from 1 species